GACAGAGGGGGCUAGCGUUGUUCGGAAUUACUGGGCGUAAAGCGCGCGUAGGUGGUUAUGUAAGUCAGAUGUGAAAUCCCAGAGCUUAACUUUGGAACUGCAUUUGAAACUAUAUAGCUAGAGACCGGUAGAGGUUGGUGGAAUUCCUAGUGUAGAGGUGAAAUUCGUAGAUAUUAGGAAGAAUAUCAAUGGCGAAGGCAGCCAACUGGCCGGUACUGACACUGAUGCGCGAAAGCGUGGGGAGCAAACAGG
rnacentral:rRNA from 1 species